rnacentral:rRNA from 1 species
GGCUACACAUGCAGUCGAGCGCACCUUCGGGUGAGCGGCGGACGGGUUAGUAACCCCCUUUAGAACGUACCCUUUUCUACGGAAUAGCCUUUGGAAACGAAGAGUAAUACCGUAUACGCCCUUUGGGGGAAAGAUUUAUCGGAGAAGGAUCGGCCCGCGUUAGAUUAGAUAGUUGGUGGGGUAACGGCCUACCAAGUCUACGAUCUAUAGCUGGUUUUAGAGGAUGAUCAGCAACACUGGGACUGAGACACGGCCCAGACUCCUACGGGAGGCAGCAGUGGGGAAUCUUAGACAAUGGGCGCAAGCCUGAUCUAGCCAUGCCGCGUGAGUGAUGAAGGCCUUAGGGUCGUAAAGCUCUUUCGCCAGAGAUGAUAAUGACAGUAUCUGGUAAAGAAACCCCGGCUAACUCCGUGCCAGCAGCCGCGGUAAUACGGAGGGGGUUAGCGUUGUUCGGAAUUACUGGGCGUAAAGCGCACGUAGGCGGAUUAGUAAGUUAGAGGUGAAAUCCCAGGGCUCAACCCUGGAACUGCCUUUAAUACUGCUAGUCUUGAGUUCGAGAGAGGUAAGUGGAAUUCCGAGUGUAGAGGUGAAAUUCGUAGA